rnacentral:misc_RNA from 1 species
GAUGAAGAACGCAGCGAAAUGCGAUAAGUAAUGUGAAUUGCAGAAUUCAGUGAAUCAUCGAAUCUUUGAACGCACAUUGCGCCCCCUGGUAUUCCGGGGGGCAUGCCUGUUCGAGCGUCAUUUCACCACUCAAGCCUCGCUUGGUAUUGGGCAACGCGGUCCGCCGCGUGCCUCAAAUCGACCGGCUGGGUCUUCUGUCCCCUAAGCGUUGUGGAAACUAUUCGCUAAAGGGUGUUCGGGAGGCUACGCCGUAAAACAACUCCAUUUCUAAGGUUGACCUCGGAUCAGGUAGGGAUACCCGCUGAACUUAAGCAUAUCAAUAAGCGGAGGA